UUCAGUGAUGGGGUCUGGUUGUUGUUCUGCCACCUGUUAAUGGUGGCCUGUUUCUUCAAGCGAGGAGGAGGGAUGGGGGUAGCAAUUGGAGGAGAGUCGAAGGUCCCAAGCUUAUUUUUAAUAAGUGUUUCUGGCAUGUUUGGCUGUUGCUGUACAGCUCUGGACAGCUGAAGGGAUGUGCGAUGACUGUUAAUGGAGGGGGGAGGGGGCCUGGGAGGUGGUGAUCUCGCCCUCCCUAUGCCAUUUGCUUCUUUGGUUCUUGUGCUGCACUCCCUCUUCGUACUUCCCCCUGAGUCCUGGCUGUGUACUUUUAAGAAGAGAGGAUUAAUGAAACACAGAGCUCCGUUGGUCUGGCUACAUUCCAGUUCUGAGGGCGUUCUGGUGCGGAGAGAAUGCACUCCAUUUAUAAGAGACAGAAGACUUUAUAUGACCUAUACAGUACAUUUCACCUGGUGAGAACAUCAACCUUUAAAAGUUGUUUAAAAGUUGGAUGCUGCGGGAAUAAGGAAUGUACUCAUACACAGCCACAGUAACCGGAGACUGGGCGACGGGCGUGUUAGGCGCAGUCAUUUUUGACGCAAAAACCUUCUGACUAUUUGGAUAUGCCCCUUUGUGUGUAGAUGAAGCCAACGAGCAUUAUAAGAGCACAGCUCAGACGGAUUUAUAAUCACAGAUGCUGUACAGAAAAUUGCCAUCACCUGAUGUUCUUUUAAGUACCCUGUAUGACAUGUAUAAAUUCUCGGCAGCAAAGUGUCCAUGGAAAUUACGUUAAAUGUUGGCAGCUCUGCCUUGUUUAAGGCCACUUUUCCUGCAUCAUCAAUCAUUGUGGGAUGGAGUCACCUAAACAUGAAGAAAUAUACUUCUGUAUAAUGUCCUGUACGCCACGUACCAUUACAUAUACUGUACAAUCACUAUUGUGUGUGUGUUUAUAAACAUUCCUGCAUCCCACAGGCCGGCACAUCCUGUAAGACUUUUCAUCGCUGCGGACAAUUAGAAAUAUGCAGCUUUGGCGACAGAGAUUCUGGGGAAAGAAUUAGAACAUUAUUGAGAAUCUGGUAAACACAUUAUAACUGGAAGUUCUACUUUCAUUUCAUAGCCAGCUGGACCGACCACAUAAAAAUGAAACCAAUAUUUAUGUACUGUAAAGACUAUUUCAUGCCAGUCUCAAUUGGUUUUUAAUUAGAUUUAUUUAAUAUAUUCUGCUUUAUAAAGCUUCUUAAAUGUAAGUAUCA